rnacentral:rRNA from 1 species
CUUUAAAUACAUAAGUACUUUUAUUGAGGAAACAAUAUAAGAGUGGAGAAAUACUUGGUGUGAUAUUUAUUAUUCAUCAAGGAGUGUGGUGGGGUUUACCCUACUGCAGCCAUUGUUUAUUGAUUUUUUGAUAAAUAGCUUCCUAACCUUUAGAAAGUUGACCCUUUAGACCUCAAAUCAGGUGGGACUACCCGCUGAACUUAAGCAUAUCAAUAAGCGGAGGAAAAGAAACUAACAAGGAUUCCCCUAGUAACGGCGAGUGAAGAGGGAAAAGCCCAAAUUUGUAAUCUGGCUCUUUUUAUAAGGGUCCGAGUUGUAAUUUUGAGAACUGUUUUCUGUGCUGGACCAUGUACAAGUCUGUUGAAAAACAGCAUCAUUGAGGGUGAAAAUCCCGUACAUGAUAUGGACUACCAGGGCAAUAUGAUACAGUCUCUAAGAGUCGAGUUGUUUGGGAAUGCAGCUCAAAGUGGGUGGUAAAUUCCAUCUAAGGCUAAAUAUAGGUGAGAGACCGAUAGCAAACAAGUACCGUGAGGGAAAGAUGAAAAGAACUUUGGAAAGAGAGUUAACAGUACGUGAAAUUGCUAAAAGGGAAACAGUUAAAGUUAGACUUGUUAUUGUUGGAUCAGCUUCUUUAUUGAGGUGUACUCUGAUGAUUAACAGACCAGCAUCAAUUUUUGAGUGUUGGAUAAGGGUUUUGGGAAUGUGGCAGCUUCGGUUGUGUUAUAGACCAUUACUUUGAUACAAUGCUUAGGAUUGAGGAACGCAGUAAGCUUUGUUGCAGAUUUUUUCGGAAAUCUCCUUGCUACGGAUGUUGGUGUAAUAGCUUUAAAUGACCCGUCUUGAAACACGGACCAAGGAGUCUAACAUGCUUGCGAGUAUUUGGGUGUUGAAACCCUUAUGCGUA